UACAGAGGUCCCGAGCGUUGUUCGGAUUCAUUGGGCGUAAAGGGUGCGUAGGCGGCGGGGCAAGUCUGAUGUGAAAUCCCGGGGCUCAACCCCGGAACUGCAUUGGAUACUGCCUUGCUUGAGUACUGGAGAGGGAACUGGAAUUUACGGUGUAGCAGUGAAAUGCGUAGAGAUCGUAAGGAAGGCCAGUGGCGAAGGCGUGUUCCUGGACAGUUACUGACGCUGAGGCACGAAGGCCAGGGGAGCAAACGGG
rnacentral:rRNA from 1 species